ACCAGACUCCUACGGGAGGCAGCAGUGGGGGAUAUUGCACAAUGGGGGGAACCCUGAUGCAGCGACGCCGCGUGGGUGAAGAAGCGCCUCGGCGCGUAAAGCCCUGUCAGCAGGGAAGAAAAUGACGGUACCUGAAGAAGAAGCCCCGGCUAACUACGUGCCAGCAGCCGCGGUAAUACGUAGGGGGCAAGCGUUAUCCGGAUUUACUGGGUGUAAAGGGGGCGCAGACGGCGAUGCAAGCCAGGAGUGAAAGCCCGGGGCCCAACCCCGGGACUGCUCUUGGAACUGCGUGGCUGGAGUGCAGGAGGGGCAGGCGGAAUUCCUGGUGUAGCGGUGAAAUGCGUAGAUAUCAGGAGGAACACCGGUGGCGAAGGCGGCCUGCUGGACUGCAACUGACGUUGAGGCCCGAAAGCGUGGGGAGCAAACAGGAUUAGAUACCCUUGUACCC
rnacentral:rRNA from 1 species